AAGAGUUUUGUCAUGGUGCACCCGUAAUCCUGUGGCUCCUACUGAUUGGACUCAGCUGUCUGCACUCAUCUCAUCAGCUCUGGACCACCAUUUAGGCCAGCGACAGGCAACUCUAGGCCUCAAUGGCUGGUCUGUCUGCAUGAUUUCCAGAUAUCCAAGCCCUACUCAAGAUUGAUUACCUGGUUCAGGUGUGUUGAGCCAAAUAGAAAAUGCCAGAGCAGGGUCUAUUUGAAAAGAUGCAGAAAUGUGGCCUGUAGUUGCCUGUCCCUGAUUUAGGCUUCAGUCUUCACCAUCAGUUCGUUACCUUCUCCGGUACAGUACUUGGCCUCGUACUUUGGGAUCGUUAUCACAUGUGCCAACCUGGGUCAAACACUUCACAGCCACAGUCUGGUUCCACUCAAGAACUCAACCUCCACUCACACCACGCUGCCGAUAUUUUCUCAUGCAGACCUCCAUGUUUGUUUGGCUUCUUCCUCCUCUCACCUGCUCCAGCGUUUCUUUUAUACGUUGUGCUGUCAACACAGUUCAUGAGCUGUCAGUGUCUUUGAGCUGUCAGACUCCACCACUGAGCUGCACGAAGAACUCCUUCCCUCUACAUCUGUGACUCUCUUCUUUGAUGGAACAAAAAUAAGAAAACAAACAUGCGUGCGGACGUAAAAGCUUAAACUCCUAUUUAUGUUGGUUAAUCUUUGCAUCCUAAUGUGAUACUUCUGUGAGAAUCCCAAGCGCCAAACUGAUUUCCAUCUAUAUUAAAAAGAAAUAACUGAUUAGAUGAUUGUUAUUCUUUACAGGAUCGUUUGCAGAUCUAUUUGCUCUCGUUAGUUUUAAUAGUUUCUGUUAACCAGUUUUUCCUUUUUCUGUAUUCUCAGUUGCUGCACCAUUUUGCUAAAUUAGCAUUGUGUUCUAA